CGCACAAGUGUCCUAGCGCUUGGCUGCUUUGUCCUUUAAUACAACAAGCAUCAAGCGGCGUCUGCUCAGUCGUCGAUGGCUGCUACAAGCGAACUGUUUAAGCAUUGCGCUCGCACAUUCUGACCAAAAGUCUACUCAAAGUAGGCUCGCGCGCGCUUCGCUUAUCAAAAAACAGACGAACGUGAAAGUUAUCUUUAGACAAACAUACAAACAAUGUUUCACUCAAAUGCGUUGCAAUUAAAUAUUGAAUACGUUAUGAAUCGCAUUUGAUCAACAUAUUUGUGCAAGUGAAUUAAAACGCCAGCAAAUAUUUUUGCAUUUCAAAAAUAUAACCACACAGGCUGCUAAAAUGUAUGGCUUUGUUAACUACGCUUUGGAGUUGCUGGUGCUUAAAUAUUUCGACGAGGAAAUAUGGGAGAAGAUCAAAAAAAAGGCCAUGGUCAGCAUGGAGGGACAAUUUCUGGUGCGUCAAAUUUACGAUGACGAAAUAACAUACAAUCUAAUUGGAGCAGCUGUUGAGAUACUCAAGAUACCUGCCGAUGACAUAUUGGAACUGUUUGGCAAGACAUUCUUUGAGUUCUGUCAGGAUUCGGGCUAUGAUAAAAUACUUCAAGUGCUGGGCGCAACGCCGCGUGACUUUCUACAGAAUCUGGACGCACUGCAUGACCAUUUGGGCACCCUUUAUCCGGGCAUGCGAGCGCCCUCGUUUCGUUGCACGGAAAAGGAUGGCGAACUGCUGCUGCAUUAUUACUCGGAACGGCCCGGGCUGGAGCACAUUGUCAUCGGCAUAGUCAAGGCCGUUGCAUCGAAGCUGCACGGUGUCGAGGUGGAAAUUGACAUCGUGAAGCGCAAAGGUGAGCCCAUCGAUGCGACCGAGAAGGAACGCGCCCUGGCACGCGAACAGCAACAAUUGGAAACUGAGACGACGGCUGGCGGAUCGGAUGCCACAGCAAGUGAUGCGGCUGCUGCUGCUGGAGCGACUGCACCAGUUCAAGUUGCAGGCACUGCCGAGCACAAUAACAAUCACAAUGCCAACAACAACAAUGGCAUCAACAACAGCAGCAACAACAUCAACAACAACAACGAUGGUCAGCAAAUUGCCAGCGAGCCGGCUGGCGAGCAGUUGCCGGCCACAUCGAAGGCCACAGGCGGCGCGCCAUGUGGGCCACUUGUGCAGGAUAGCUUCGACUGCGACGGCGACAAGGAGCAGAAGUGCCUGCGCCUGCUGAAGAACAAGAGCGAUGACAUCGAACGCUAUGACCAUGUACAGUUUCUGAUACGUGAAAUCAAUGUGGCCGCCAAAUCGCAAGUGGAUGCCAAGAAGGAUGACCCGGCAGCCAGCGAUGAUAUGGAGUUUCUCUGUGAAGCUCCACUCAUCUCGCCAGCGACUUUCUGUAAGGUGUUCCCCUUCCACCUGAUGUUCGAUAGACAAAUGAAAAUCGUACAGGCCGGCAAAGCCGUAUCCCGCGUUAUACCCAGAGUGGCCGAGGAGAACUGUUCGCUGAUAGAGGUGGUGGAGGCCAUUAGACCACACCUGCAGCUCACAUUUGAAAACAUUUUGUCGCACAUAAACACCAUCUAUGUGCUCCAGACGAGGCAGGGCGCCAUGAGUAGCCGGCUCGAGCAGCGCUUUCUGAGACUGAAGGGCCAAAUGAUGUAUAUACCAGAAACAGAUCGCAUAUUGUUUCAGUGCUAUCCGAGCGUCAUGAAUUUGGAUGAUCUAACCAAGAAGGGACUCUACAUUUCGGAUGUGCCGCUGCACGAUGCGGCCAGAGAUUUGGUGCUGCUUUCUGAGAAAUUCGAGGCGGAAUACAAGCUGACCAAAAAUCUGGAAAUGCUGACGGAUAAGCUACAGCAAACGUUUCGCGAUCUGGAGAGUGAGAAGCAGAAAACGGACAGGCUGCUCUACUCGGUGCUGCCCAAAUCUGUGGCAAAUGAGCUACGACAUCAGCGUCCAGUGCCUCCGAAACGCUAUGACUCCGUAACGCUGAUGUUCUCUGGCAUUGUGGGCUUCGGGCAAUAUUGUGCAGCCAACACGGAUCCCGAGGGUGCCAUGAAAAUUGUAAAAAUGCUUAACGAGCUCUACACCGUCUUUGAUGCGCUCACCGACUCCAAGCGCAACCUGAAUGUCUACAAAGUGGAAACUGUGGGCGAUAAGUAUAUGGCCGUCUCGGGUCUGCCAGAUCAUUGUGAGGAUCACGCCAAGUGCAUGGCGCGCGUCGCUUUGGAUAUGAUGGAUAUGGCUAAGAAUGUCAAAAUGGGCUCCAAUCCGGUGCAAAUCACCAUUGGCAUCCAUUCGGGCGAGGUGGUCACCGGCGUCAUCGGGAAUCGUGUGCCCCGCUAUUGCCUCUUUGGCAACACCGUCAACCUGACGAGUCGCACCGAAACCACCGGCGUGCCCGGUCGCAUAAACAUUAGCGAGGAGACCUAUCGGCUGCUGUGCCAGGAGAUCAACGAGGAUGAUUCAUUUAAUCUGGAGUACCGCGGCCCGGUCAUCAUGAAAGGCAAGCCGACGCCGAUGGACUGCUGGUUCCUGACACGUGCCACCAGCGCACUAAAUGCCAGCAGCAGCGGCAAUGGCAGCCUCGACUCGCCGCAGCUGCAGCCCACAACGCCAACGGCCACAACGCAACGGCUGGUCAUGGGCAUGGGACAUGCCAGUGUCUCACGUACAUCCUCGGCGAGCGGCAGUACCGGCGGUGGUGGUGGCGGCGGUGGCGGUGGCAGUGGUGGGGGAGCAGCCGCAACGGGUCCUGUGGCGCCCUCAGAUGCAUAGGAUAUGCAAAAGGAUGCAAAUAUACUGUAAAUCUACGUGCAACUCCUUGACUUCAGCAGCCAAGCGACUAUCUAACUGAUUGCGUGUGUGUGUGUGUGUGUGUGUGUGACUUGGCCACUUAACCACUUCAUUUCAAUGUAUUUGUGCUGUCUUGGCUCGCAUCCUUGUCUGCAUCUGCGUGUGUAAGGGCGUGUGUGUGUGUGUGUGUGACUGCUGCUGCUGCUGCCACAUUGCGGCCGAAGAAGUUGGCAUCAGGCAUCGCUGGAUCGUUGUGCAAGGAAUCGGAAAUUCAAGGGAAUCCAAGCUAAAUAUAACUACUCGUACGUUGUAAUUAGUAAUUAAUGAAAAAUAAAUAUAUAUAAUAUAUAUGUGUGUGUGUGUGUGUGUGUGCAUGUUUCAACUGUAUAAAAAUGAGAAAUGAUUUAAAUAUUUGUAUUCGUCGAGGCUUCUUGAGUGUGUAUAAAACGAGAUGCGAUUUAAUAUUUAUUUUUCUACUUUGUGAU
rnacentral:misc_RNA from 1 species